rnacentral:rRNA from 1 species
UACGGAGAGUGCGAACGUUGUUCGGAUUCACUGGGCGUAAAGGGCACGUAGGCGGCCUUCUAAGUCGGACGUGAAAUCCCUCGGCUUAACCGAGGAACUGCGUCCGAUACUGAAAGGCUUGAAUCCGGGAGAGGGAUGUGGAAUUCCAGGUGUAGCGGUGAAAUGCGUAGAUAUCUGGAGGAACACCGGUGGCGAAGGCGGCAUCCUGGACCGGCAUUGACGCUGAGGCGCGAAAGCUAGGGGAGCAAACGGG